rnacentral:rRNA from 1 species
UACGAAGGGGGCUAGCGUUGUUCGGAAUUACUGGGCGUAAAGCGCGCGCAGGCGGCUAUCCAAGUCAGUGGUGAAAGCCCGGAGCUCAACUCCGGAACUGCCAUUGAAACUGUUUAGCUUGGGGAUGAGAGAGGUGAGUGGAAUUCCCAGUGUAGAGGUGAAAUUCGUAGAUAUUGGGAAGAACACCGGUGGCGAAGGCGGCUCACUGGCCCGAAACUGACGCUCAUGCACGACAGCGUGGGGAUCAAACAGG